rnacentral:rRNA from 1 species
UACAGGGGGUGCAAACGUUGCUCGGAAUUAUUGGGCGUAAAGCGCGCGUAGGCGGCCACUUAAGUCGGAUGUGAAAGCCCCUGGCUCAACUGGGGAAGUGCACCCGAAACUGAAUGGCUUGAGUGCGAAAGAGGGUCGCGGAAUUCCCGGUGUAGAGGUGAAAUUCGUAGAUAUCGGGAGGAACACCGGUGGCGAAGGCGGCGACCUGGGUCGAGACUGACGCUGAGGCGCGAAAGCGUGGGGAGCAAACAGG